GACGAACGCUGGCGGCGUGCUUAACACAUGCAAGUCGAGCGAUGAAGCCCCUUCGGGGGUGGAUUAGCGGCGGACGGGUGAGUAACACGUGGGUAACCUGCCUCAAAGAGGGGGAUAGCCUCCCGAAAGGGAGAUUAAUACCGCAUAAAGCAGAAUUCCACAUGGAGUUUUGAUGAAAGGAGUAAUCCGCUUUGAGAUGGACCCGCGGCGCAUUAGCUAGUUGGUGGGGUAACGGCCUACCAAGGCAACGAUGCGUAGCCGACCUGAGAGGGUGAUCGGCCACAUUGGAACUGAGAGACGGUCCAGACUCCUACGGGAGGCAGCAGUGGGGAAUAUUGCACAAUGGGCGAAAGCCUGAUGCAGCAACGCCGCGUGAGUGAUGAAGGUCUUCGGAUUGUAAAGCUCUGUCUUCUGGGACGACAAUGACGGUACCAGAGGAGGAAGCCACGGCUAACUACGUGCCAGCAGCCGCGGUAAUACGUAGGUGGCAAGCGUUGUCCGGAUUUACUGGGCGUAAAGGGUGCGCAGGCGGAUAUUUAAGUGGGAUGUGAAAUCCCCGGGCUUAACCUGGGGGCUGCAUUCCAAACUGGAUAUCUAGAGUGCAGGAGAGGAGAAUGGAAUUCCUAGUGUAGCGGUGAAAUGCGUAGAGAUUAGGAAGAACACCAGUGGCGAAGGCGAUUCUCUGGACUGUAACUGACGCUGAGGCACGAAAGCGUGGGUAGCAAACAGGAUUAGAUACCCUGGUAGUCCACGCCGUAAACGAUGAGUACUA
rnacentral:rRNA from 1 species